GCCGCUCGCCGGGCCGGGCCGGCGGGCUGGGCGCCGAGCACCGGCCCCGCUGCCAGCCCAGCCCAGCCCAGCCCAGCCCAGCCCCGCGCUGCCCGGCCCGGCCCGGCCCGGCUCGGCUCGGCUCAGCCCGGCUCAGCCCGACCUGUCUCGCUCCUGGCCGCCCUGCCCCGGCCGUGCCCGCACCUUGGAGCGGACGGACGGACGGACGGAUGGCCGGCAUCCCCGACGGAGGGAUGUUUCUGUCUUUGGUUAUCUAGCUGUAUGAGUGUUGUGGAGCCAUCAUAAAGCUAGAUAACCGAAAGUAGAAAUGACUUCCAGACCUGCUCGCCCAGGGGAAGCGGCCGCACCAGGACCGGCAGUGCAGAGACGGCCCGACUCGCCGCCCUGGGGGCUCCAGACAUGACUGAGAGUUCGUGGAGUGGGAUGCCUUGGGAAGGGCUGGGACGUCUCCACCUGAGCAAGGAGAGAUCCCAGUGAGAGGACAAGGGACUUUUGAAGCCUGUGAGUUCCUUCUUCCAGCUGGCUACCACCUGCCUGGACUUGCCAUCUGACUUCUCCGAGUUUCUCCAGGAGGGUCCCAACCUGCUUCUCCAUUGGUCUCAAAGAGGAGUCAGCUUUGUCUCGUGAACACAGUGGAUUUCUGGACUUUGAAACACAGCGGUGCAGCCAUGGGGAGGGAGCCAGGGCAACACAGGGAGCCAAGGGAUCAUCCCACAUCACUCCUGUAUGUUGCCUUCAGUGCCCUCAAUACCCCAGAGCAGGACCAAAGUGCUUAGGCAGAGAGGCCUGAGCCAGUCACUGUCUCACCUGGUGAAAUACCAGGUGUGUGAAGUUUGGAGGGAGCUUUUGGCCCCCGGCUUUGCUCAUGGAGCAGAGCUCAGCCCUUGCUGCUCUGGAUCCCUGGGUCUGUGGAGCUGUGGGAGUGCAGCCUUCCCGAAGGCACUGUGCUUGGGGCCCAGAGGACCAUGAGAUUUUCCAGGCCAGGCAGCCCUGCUGGUGUUGUACUGCACCCUCUCUGUUCCUGUACUGCCUGUAUUCUCUCCCAUUCAAAUCCUCCCAACCCCAUGCACUGUUGAAAAUAAACUCUCUCUUUUGGAAAAGUGA